rnacentral:rRNA from 1 species
GACGGGGGAUGCAAGUGUUAUCCGGAAUCACUGGGCGUAAAGGGUGCGCAGGUGGUUUGGCAAGUUUGACGUGAAAGCCCCGGGCUUAACCCGGGAAUGGCGUUGAAAACUGCUUGAACUGGAGGGUCGGAGGGGGGACUGGAAUUCUUGGUGUAGCAGUGAAAUGCGUAGAUAUCAAGAGGAACACCAGUGGCGAAGGCGAGUCCCUGGACGAUACCUGACACUGAGGCACGAAAGCCAAGGGAGCAAACAGG